rnacentral:lncRNA from 1 species
AAAAGGAUGCAUUUAGAACCAGAAGAGACCCCACUAGACAAGCUGGAGUUGUCCCCCCAGCCCAACUCUAGGUCACGUUGCGUGGAUGCCCCCUGCUGGUCCAAGGGGGAGCUUCCUGCACCCCAGAGGGCACCAAGGAAGACCAGGGGGCGGGCCUGGGGGCCAGGGGCUUCUUGUCCAGCACCAACUUGGCUGGCCUCUGAGGCAGCAAGGCCACCCAGGGGAUAUCGAACCAGAUCCUGUGUCCCUAGAGGAGGGGCAGUGAGGGAAGGUCUCUGGCUGUGACCCAGCUGCAUGGUGCCCCUCGCUGGGCAACCCAGUCACAUCUCUGUGACUCCACCCAGGAAAGACUGCCCCCUGUCCUGGGGGGCAGUGACCCCGCCGAGGGUUGGCUGGCUGGGGCCGUCCCCUGUCAAACCACCUCCAGAAGGCCCCAGGGAGAGUCCGGGGACACAGCAGACCUGACCCCACCUGCCUCCUUCCGAACUUCCUUUGCUCCUCAGAAGCCUUAGAGGCUGCCUGACAGCUGCCCUUGCGUCGCCCUCUGGUGUAUCCCUGCUCCUGCCCUGAGCUACUCAGACCUGAAGGACAUCCUUUUUCCUUUCACUUCCUGUGGAAAAGUGAACAAAACACAAGCUUACUGUGCAACAAGUGCACAGUAAGCUUGUUAGGAAGUGAAUGCCGAGAAGCAGCCUUUUGAGUUCCUGUUCUCANNNNNNNNNNNNNNNNNNGUUGAAUUUUUUUUUUUUUUUUUUUUGGGGUAUUGAGUAGUGAAGAGUAUUUCCUUUUUUUGGCUACCCUUGUGGCAUAUGCAAGUUCCAGGGCCAGGGAUUGAAUCUGAGCCACAGCUGCAACCUGUGCUACAGCUGUGGCAGUGUUAGAUGCUUGACACACUGCAUCACAGAAACUCCUAUAGAGAGUAUUUCUUAUAUACAGUUUUCUUAGAUUGGGUUCUUUCGAAGCAAAACCUUGCAGUUCCCUAGUGGAUUGGCCGGUUAAGGAUCUGGCGUUGUUGCUACUGUGGCUCAGGUCACUGAUGUGUGGGUUUGAUCCCACUGCUUCUUCAUGCUGUGGGCAUGGCCAAAAAAAAAAAACAAAAACAAAAAAACAAAAACACAGUAGGAUAACCUGGAGCAGGGCUCUUGGGCGAGUGAUUUAUGUUUAUGGAGGGCACGUCCUCAGGGAAGCAGGAGGGCGCAAAGGAAAACAAAGGGCAGAAGUGGGCCCAGCCAGAGGCCAGCGUGGGCCUGAUCCCACGGGGACUCUGGUGUGCCACUGGUCCCUAGAGUUGGUUUUGCUUUGCGGGGACCAGUCUUAUGUGCCUCAGAUCAGCCAGGGCACCAACGGCCACUCUGAAGUCCCCUCUGAAGUCUGAUGUGCUCAGAUCCACUUGUUUCUCACAUUACGUUCAGUCCAUUCAGACCCAGACUCUUCAGGCUUCUGACUGGUCAGGAAUCUGGAGGAACUUCCAAAUGAGUAGAGGGGUGAACUCAGUGGCCCCCGCUGCUGCAGGUGGCUACAAAGCCACAACCAAUACCCACCACCCAUUCUAGAUUUCUCUUCCUCAUGGCUCGCCCUUUGGCUCUUCUAGAUGGUUCACUCCUGAAGUCUGAGAACCCGGGAGCCUGCCCUUAGCAGGCCAUGUGGCCAUGCUUGUCUGCUUAUGCCUGCUGGGUAUGGGUGUAUCCAGAGCUCACUGCUGCUCUGAAUGCCUGAGUGCCAAACACACUCCUGCCUGCCCCCAUCAUGUGACUGGUAGCCCUGCAUCCAGUAAUGGGGGUUGGGAUUUCUCAUUGUGGCUCAGUGGGUUACAAAUCCAACUAAUAUCCAUGAGGAUUCGGGUUUGAUCCCUGGCGUCGCUCAGUGGGUUAAGGAUCUGGUGUUGCCUUGAGCUGUGGUGUAGACUGGCAGCUGCAGCUCCAAUUCGACCCCUACCCUGGGAACUUCCAUAUGCCCUGGAUGCAGCCCUAAAAAGACAAAAAAAAAAA